GGUCUGUUGGUCUAAUGGUUAUGACACAUACCUGUCACGUAUGCAAGAUGAAUUCAAUUCUCAUACAGACCGCCA
rnacentral:tRNA from 1 species